CUUCAAAUUUGGGUGUAGGGUCUGAUAAACUCAUAAAGUUUUAAGUGCUGUCAUCAACUUCUUAAUUUUGUACCUACAUUUUUGGAGUCAAACUAACAGCACAUAUUU